AGGGCGGUGCAAGAUGUGCUUUGUUAAAC
rnacentral:piRNA from 1 species